GACGAACGCUGGCGGCGUGCUUAACACAUGCAAGUCGUACGGUAAGGCCCUUUCGGGGGUACCCGAGUGGCGAACGGGUGAGUAACACGUGAGUAACCUGCCCACAACUUUGGGAUAACGCUAGGAAACUGGUGCUAAUACUGGAUAUGUGCUCCUGCUGCAUGGUGGGGGUUGGAAAGCUCCGGCGGUGGUGGAUGGACUCGCGGCCUAUCAGCUUGUUGGUGGGGUAGUGGCCUACCAAGGCGGCGACGGGUAGCCGGCCUGAGAGGGUGACCGGCCACAUUGGGACUGAGAGACGGCCCAGGCGCCUACUGGAGGCAGCAGUGGGGAAGAUUGCACAAUGGGCGCAAGCCUGAUGCAGCAACGCCGCGGGCGGGAUGACGGUCUUCGGGUUGUAGAACGCUUUCAGCAGGGACGAAGCUUUUUGUGACGGUACCUGCAGAAGAAGCACCGGCUAACUACGUG
rnacentral:rRNA from 1 species